GAUGAACGCUGGCGGCGUGCCUAAUACAUGCAAGUCGAGCGAACGGACGAGAAGCUUGCUUCUCUGAUGUUAGCGGCGGACGGGUGAGUAACACGUGGAUAACCUACCUAUAAGACUGGGAUAACUUCGGGAAACCGGAUCUAAUACCGUAUGAUAUUUUGAACCGCAUGGUUCAAAAGUGAAAGACGGUCUUGCUGUCACUUAUAGAUGGAUCCGCGCUGCAUUAGCUAGUUGUUAAGGUAACGGCUUACCAAGGCAACGAUGCAUAGCCGACCUGAGAGAGUGAUCGGCCACCCUGGAAGUGAGACACGGUCCAGACUCCUACGAGAGGCAGCAGUAGGGAAUCUUCCGCAAUGGGCGAGAGCAUGACGGAGCAACGCCGAGUGAGUGAUGAAGGUCUUCGGAUCGUAAAACCCUGUUAUUAGGGAAGAACAUAUGUGUACGUAACUGUGCACAGAUUGACGGUACCUAAUCAGAAAGCCACGGCUAACUACGUG
rnacentral:rRNA from 1 species